CCUACGGGCUGCAGCAGUCGAGAAUCAUUCACAAUGGGGGAAACCCUGAUGGUGCGACGCCGCGUGGGGGAAUGAAGGUCUUCGGAUUGUAAACCCCUGUCAUGUGGGAGCAAAUUAAAAAGAUAGUACCACAAGAGGAAGAGACGGCUAACUCUGUGCCAGCAGCCGCGGUAAUACAGAGGUCUCAAGCGUUGUUCGGAAUCACUGGGCGUAAAGCGUGCGUAGGCUGUUUCGUAAGUCGUGUGUGAAAGGCGAGGGCUCAACCCGCGGACGGCACAUGAUACUGCGAGACUAGAGUAAUGGAGGGGGAACCGGAAUGCUCGGUGUAGCAGUGAAAUGCGUAGAUAUCGAGAGGAACAAUCGUGGCGAAGGCGGGUUCCUGGACAUUAACUGACGCUGAGGCACGAAGGCCAGGGGAGCGAAAGGGAUUAGAUACCCCAGUAGUC
rnacentral:rRNA from 1 species